GUGACAUCUCUGGAAAGGAGCCUUAAGUCCCUUGGGACACCCAACGACACACCCGAACUGCGUGACACACUGCAUACGACUCAACAGGAGACCAACAAAACCAUCACAACAUGCACAAACGCGAUCCGGCAGCUGUCUGAGGUCAUCAGAGGUUCUUCUCGGCAGGAGCGGCUUCAGCUGGAUCGCCUGAAGAAUCAACUUUCUGACGCCAUUCAGCGGUAUGGGA